rnacentral:lncRNA from 1 species
GUGCCUUCUGCCAACAACUUCUAAGGUGCUGGUGCCAGGAGAGGACUGGGGAGGACGUUGGGAUGGCUAUGGGGCAUGUACAACAUAAAGCAACAGAGAGGUAGGAAAAGAGGAUGGGGGUCAGGGGUGGAGGCUGUGGAAAGGGGAGAGCGAGGGCUGAAGAGAAUGGCAGCCAUACAGGUGUUUUGUUUUUAUUUCCA